GCCUAGUGGUUCCUGGAGUCAGCCCAUAAAUGCUGAACUGUGGGUUUUGUAAACAGGCAUAUAUUGAUUCUGCGAUUUUAUGCAUGGAAGCUGCCUCUAUAGCAGCCUUCCAUAGCCCGGUUGCAGAAACAUAC